UCAAAUAUGCUGUAAUAGAAAUAAGGCCAUGCUCAUAAAAAAAGAAAAUGCCACUGACCGCCACUGAUGCUGAUGUCCUCACAUACCCUGCUAUCAAGUGUUUCUUAUUGUACAAAUUCAGAUCGAACCUCCCCAUUUCGGACCGUUUUCUUUCCUUUCAUGCCUACUGAACGUGACCCUGAUGUCCUUACAUACGCCACUGGCUGUCACCCUGCUAGCUGUUUACUGGUGCUGUGGAAUAUGAAAACGUAGUUCAUUUAAAAACAUUCUCCCCCUGGCUACUAUGACAGAGAGGUUGGUCACAAUUGAAUCUGUGUUUGGGAAUGGGGCAAUUAAAAUCCUAUUAUAUUCAAUGUUCUAUAACGCUCAGAAAAUGUUAUUUCUGUUAUUUCUGAUGUCGUAACUAGGCCAUGGUCAGGUCUUGGCCGACUCUGCACCUCAUCUCAGGAGCCCACUUUAUGAACUUCAAAGGCGAUAUAUGUCCCAAAGGUUUCUACUAUCCUGUAGGAUCGGCCUACCCUCAGCCCUGUGACACUGGGUCCUACUGUGGUCAGACUGGUCUGGAUGCCCCCAGUGGCCUCUGUACCCCAGGCUACUUCUGCUCCAGGGGUUCCACAGCCCCUCACGCCUCACUCUGCCCCCCUGGACACUACUGCCCCCAGGGCACACCUCUCCCUCUACCCUGCCCCCCUGGAACCCUGAAGGGUCGAUCAGGCGGGUCCACAGUGGACGACUGCCAGCCUUACUGCGAUCAGACAGGCUCGGCCGAGCCUAGCGGUCAGUGUGCUCCUGGCUACUACUGUCCAGGGGGACAGAGCACUGAUAGACCAUCGCAACAUGUGUGUGGAGUUGGUUAUUUCUGAGAGGAGGGAUGUUCUGUGCCCUCCCUGGGCUCUCCCAGAAAACGGGUCCUUGCCAGGCAGGAUACCACUGUACUCCUGGUGCCAUCACAACCAAUGCUACUGAAUACUAGUGGAAUUCUACCAGUAAUAAUCCACUACUGUCCAGCUGGCACUGGCUACCCUCUUCUGUGCCCACCGGGCUCUCUCUCCAGCUCCCCGGGACUGAGGGGCGUAGAGGAGUGCCAGCGUUGCCCCCCUUGGCACUUCUGUGACAGGCCUGAGCUGGUGCUGACCUUGGACGCCGCCCCGUGUAGCGCUGGGUAUGUGUGUCUAGGGGGUAGCUCCAGUGCCCACCCCUCUGAUGGUCUCCAUGGUUACCUGUGCCCCACAGGGCAUCGCUGUCCUGUUGGCACAGCUUCAGAGGUACCCUGUGAGCCUGGCAUCUACAGUCCUGCCCCUGGCGCCGCCCACUGCCUCAUCUGCCCUAAUGGCACCAUGUGUCCCUCCUCUGCCACCCAAGAGCCCUCUCUCUGCCCUGCUGGUCAUUUCUGUCCUGCCGGGCCUAUUUCUGCCAGCGUGGAGCGCCAGGUCCAGCUCCCCAGAGCUCAGCCAUCUUUCCCAGGAACGGGCCCUGCCCCGUGGGCCACUAUUGCCUGUCUGGGACCCUCUCCCCACUGCCGUGUCCUGCAGGCAGCAUCCGAAACCACACCGGGGGGUUAUCCAUAGACAGCUGCUCCCCCUGUCCCCCCGGACACUACUGUUCCAGUGAGGGCCUCCCCCAGUGGCCUGUGUGCUGCUGGCUUCUACUGCCCAUUUGACUUCUCCCUAAGAAACAGGGAUGACGAGAUGACAGUAAGAGUAAUGGAUGCGGGGAUGCAACCCCAGUCUCUGCACCAUCGUACUACACUGGCUCUGACGCUCGUCGGAUGUGGCAGGGCUUGAAAACUAUUACAGACUACAAAGGGAAGC